rnacentral:rRNA from 1 species
GAUGAACGCUGGCGGCGUGCCUAAUACAUGCAAGUCGAGCGAACGGACGAGAAGCUUGCUUUCCUGAUGUUAGCGGCGGACGGGUGAGUAACACGUGGAUAACCUACCUAUAAGACUGGGAUAACUUCGGGAAACCGGAGCUAAUACCGGAUAAUAUUUUGAACCGCAUGGUUCAAAAGUGAAAGACGGUCUUGCUGUCACUUAUAGACGGAUCCGCGCUGCAUUAGCUAGUUGGUAAGGUAACGGCUUACCAAGGCAACGAUGCAUAGCCGACCUGAGAGGGUGAUCGGCCACACUGGAACUGAGACACGGUCCAGACUCCUACGGGAGGCAGCAGUAGGGAAUCUUCCGCAAUGGGCGAAAGCCUGACGGAGCAACGCCGCGUGAGUGAUGAAGGUCUUCGGAUCGUAAAACUCUGUUAUUAGGGAAGAACAUAUGUGUAAGUAACUGUGCACAUCUUGACGGUACCCAAUCAGAAAGCCACGGCUAACUACGUG